rnacentral:pre_miRNA from 1 species
CUAUUACUCCCUCCGUUCCGAAUUACUUGUCGCGGGUAUGCAUGUAUCUAGAUGUAUUUUAGUUCUAUCCAUUUCUGCGACGAGUAAUUUGGAACGGAGGAAGUACAAA